UCACUUCAGCAGCAAAUAUACUAAAAUUGAAACAAUACAGAGAUUAGUAUAGCCCUUGCAUAAGGAUAGUAUGCAAAUUUGUGAAGUGUUCCAUAUUUUU
ensembl:snRNA U6 U6 spliceosomal RNA